AAAUUUUUAUACAUUACAAUUGAAAAAAAUUUAGAGUUUUUUUUUAUUAUUUAUUAUUAUAGAGUGUUUAACAAAAACAACAAUAAAAAAAACAUGACAUCAAUUAGUAAUAUAAAUUUAAAUGAUCAUGGUACUUUGAAAUUAAGUACACCCAAUUUAUCGACUGGCCUAGAAUAUAUUAUCGAAGAUAUACUAGAUUAUAUAAAAAUAUCAUCUAGUCAAUUUAAUCAAGCAAUUGACAAUAAUGAUACAGGUAAUAAUAAUAAUAAACAAAAAUUAAGCAUGCUAAUUGAGCUGAAAAAUGCAAUUGAUGAGUUUUUAGAAAAAUCAGCAUGUCAAAAUUUUCUAGACACUAUAACUGUUAAAAUACUAGAAAAUUAUCAACCAUUGAACUAUACAAUUGACCAGGAUCGUUUGAAUGGAAAUUUUAUGUAUACAUUGAAAUUGUUUGGUCAAAAAUUUAUGCAAAAAUCGACAUUAAAAAAUAACUGCAACAUUGACAUGAAUUUAAUGAAAACUGUUGAAAAUUUUCAUUUAAAAUAUUUUAAUACUAAAAUUGAUAUCUGAAAUACUUAAAUAUAAAUUUUGUAAUUUCACUGUCUAUUGAUAUAAUAUU